rnacentral:snRNA from 1 species
GUGCUCGCUUCGGCAGCACAUAUACUAAAAUUUGAACCAUACAGAGAAGAUUAGCAUGGACCCUGCGCAAGGAUGACACACAAAUUCGUGAAGCAUUCCAUAUUUUU